GUUGGGAAUCUUGGACAAUGGGGGAAACCCUGAUCCAGCCAUGCCGCGUGAGUGAUGAAGGCCUUCGGGUUGUAAAACUCUUUCGACGGGGACGAUAAUGACGGUACCCGUAGAAGAAGCUCCGGCUAACUUCGUGCCAGCAGCCGCGGUAAUACGACGGGGGCGAGCGUUGUUCGGAAUUACUGGGCGUAAAGCGCGCGCAGGCGGCUAUCCAAGUCAGUGGUGAAAGCCCGGAGCUCAACUCCGGAACUGCCAUUGAAACUGGUUAGCUUGAGGACGAGAGGGGUGAGUGGAAUUCCCAGUGUAGAGGUGAAAUUCGUAGAUAUUGGGAAGAACACCAGUGGCGAAGGCGGCUCACUGGCUCGUAUCUGACGCUCAGGCGCGAUAGCGUGGGGAUCAAACAGGAUUAGAAACCCGUGUAGUCC
rnacentral:rRNA from 1 species